CUAUAUCCUGUGGGGGAAAGGUCGGUGGUGGUGGUUGUACUCAAUAUGGUCUUGACCAUGAGCGGCUGCUAAGAGGAACUCCACUUCCUUAAAAUGUACUUUAUGGGGAGAGAAAAAAAGUGGGAGGGAAGUAUUGCCACUGCUACCUCUGCAGUGGUAAGCUUCCCUGAAAUAACAUCCAGUUCCAGCCCCUCUGCCUGGCGCAAAUUUCACUCUUCAGUUCAAGCCAAAUGCUCUUAAAGGUGAACGGCUGGCUUAGACCUCAGUUUGUUUUCCAUCUAUGCAAGGCCUUUAAGAGAGGUCAUUGGGGUCGCAGAGGACAGUGACUGUGGCGUUUGCCCGUUCUUUUUAAAAUGUCUGUACAGGGGGAGAGAAAGAGUUAAUAGGUAGACCAAUAGAAAAGCCAGAGGCGGAGCCUACCUGUUUAUAAAAGGGCUCAGCCCAAGGUUUGUUUUAGUUGGUUGGUUAGUUGGGAAAGGCAGUUGGGAAAGCAGUUGGCAGACAGUUGGAAUUAGAGAGACAGUGCAGUUGGGUCUUGUGUGAGGGGAGGUAGAAGAGUUAGAGACAAGAUAAAUUAAGACUAAGAAGGUAAAGAGUAACAUUUUGAAGGCAGUUAAAGUUUAUUUGUGUUUGCAAUAAACUACACUUUCCUUUGUUAACUUAAGAACCUGACUGAGAUUAAGUGAUUUACCAGAGAGGACCUGGUUGGUGGCAGCGGAUUAGUGGUGUACGGGUCAAUAGUCCGUAAGACGACUGGGGGCUCCGUACGAACGCCACAGUGAUGGACCUGAAUAUGUGCAUGUGAUGUGUGAUUGUGUGAGUGAAGGUGACUUGCCAUUGGCCUUGACAAUUUCAGAUAAAACUUAUGAAAGGUGAAUAAACCUAUGUUCCAUUGAGACAAGAGAGAAGCCGAGUCUGGAGCAGAUAGGAAAGAGUAAGGCUUUUUCUAGACACAAUCGCUCUCCCUGUGAGAAUUAAGUCUAUCGCUUUGGAACACUUUGGGAGUUGACCUUGCUUCUAGAUGAAGACUUUUGGCUAGCUUUGGCUAGUGCACUGGCUGUGACCUCUGUUGGAAGAUAGAAACAAAGAAAAUUGACUGCUGUAAUCAGGGCUUCUUUUCAGCUGGUACUCAGUUCUGGCACCUCUCAGAUGGGCACCUUUGCCAUUCUAAGAGAAUGAGGGAGGUGUUCAUGGUGAGUUCCGGUAUCUCUUUUUCUAGAAAAAUAGCAUUUUCUAGAAAUGGGAUCAUCCAUGAAGUUGGUUCAGAAACUUGUGCUAACACAAGAAUGCUGCUGCCUGAUUUGUUGACAUAUUCU